ACCUGGCUGUGACAUCUGUCACCCCAUUGAUCACCAGUGUUGAUUUGGCUGAUCUGCUUGGCUAGUCCAAUGUCCCCAU
rnacentral:sRNA from 1 species